GAGCUGCCUUAUCCUUGAAUGAGUGAGUGGUACGUGCGUGGAUGCCGAACCUGACCUGGCCUGGCCGGGAGAUAUUUUUCUCCGUCGUCUUGCUCCCUCGAUCUACGUCUAUUUACUAGUGGUACGUACACUCCUGGUAGUAAAACUACGCUACCACCACUACUACUGUAUACUCUGUUCAUAUGAAAAAUCCAAACCUCAAAUAUAUAUGAGAAAAAAGCCUGCCGAGCCAACAACUGCCAACCAAGCUCGAAUCCUCCAGCACAGCCAAGUAUUCAACUUUCAGUGUCAUUGCGCUUGUGGUGUUGGUACUAGGAGUUCUCUAGUGUUCUUUCAAGACUAGCAUUGUCAGCAUCAUACGGAGUAGAUAGUUAGUAAGGCUAAAAAUCGAAGCAAGCACACGUGCUUUCGUUUUGCUUCUCGACUGAGUAGUAGUACUUGCGCUGAAAAUCAUCCCGUGAUUUCGCUUUGCUGGGGCAAAGAACGCCGACGUGGAGACGAGCCUCCACCCCAACAGUUAGUUCCCCUUCUUCUAUGAUCAGUUCUGCAAGCUUUGCCGCUGUGACUGAAGCUCCAUCAAGACCCCGGUUAUUGAUAAACCAGCAUAGUGACUCAAAGGGAGACGAGCAUAGUCUUCUCAAGACUGCCGGGGUGGACGUGGACCUCCGAGCAUUCUGCCAUUCAUCCCGUGCUGUUGGGGUCAGCGGUCAGCCGUUUGUCAGUGACUCAAAUCUACAAAUCAACAGCAGGUUAUUGCAAAAUCAACAGGAUGCCCCUGGAUUAUUAGAGCUAGAACAACGGCUGAUAAUAGUGUCAGGGUGCAGAUAAACUGAGGCAAAUAUAGUUGUGCAUCUACAAGUAGAGUACAAGGCACAAUGGCCUCCCAAGCCUGGGUUGCAGAAAGAGCUAUACCAUUGUUGAAGAAGAAGCCAAACAUGGGAGCCAUUGAACUUCAGUCAGCUUUGGAGGAAAAGUAUGGUUUGAAAAUCAACUACUAGACAGUAUGGUAUGGGAGACAAAGGGCAGCAAACAAAUUAUUUGGUAGUUGGAAUGAUUCUUUUGAUUGGUUGUAUAGGUUCAAAGCAGAGGUAGAGCUAAGGUCACCCGGGUGUAUAGUAGAGAUUGAUACAGUCAUAGUAGAUAAUAAGUUACAUUCCAGCAGGUUUUUCUGUGCAUUCCAAGGUAGCAUUGAAGGAUUUUUAAAUGGUUGUAGGCCUUACAUUAGUGUAGAGUCCACAGCUCUGAAUGGCCUUUGGAAUGGUCACAUGCCAGCUGCCUUAGGCUUAGAUGGACACAAUUGGAUGUUUCCAUUGGCCUUUGGGUUCUUGACUCUGAGACUAGGGACAAUUGGGUUUGGUUUAUGGACCAGCUUGGAAAGGCCAUAGGAUUUGUGCCACAUUUGGCAGUAUGCACAGAUGCCUGUAAGGGUCUAGAAGCAGCAGUCCAGCAGGUAUUUCCUUGGGCUGAACAAAGAGAAUGUUCCAGGCACUUGAUAGAGAAUAUGAAGAAAGGGUUUACUGGAGAUGUAUAUGGAGCUAACAUGUGGCCAGCAGAUAGAGCAUACUCAGAUAGGAUGUACAAGUAUUUCAUGGACAAAGUGAUUGCAGCCAGCCCUAGUGUACAAACUUGGUUAGAUGAACACUACAGUCUCUUCUGGGCAAGGUCCAAGUUCAAUACAUAGGUGAAGUGUGAGUACAUCAACAAUAAUCUAGCUGAGUGUUGGAAUGCAUGGAUUAAACAGCUGAAGGAUCUACCAUUGCAUUGCAUGGUUGAUGCCAUUAGAGAGAAGGGGGUGUGUUAUUUGAGAAGAGGAGGAGCAUAGCAAGGGCACUAGAUGGGGUGAUCUUGCCAGCUGUUGUGCAACAGUUGAAUGCUGCCUCCAAAGGACUGAACCAUUUGAAAGUGACAAAGGGUAUACCUGACCAGACUGAGGUGACAGUGAUGUAUAGGGAUCAAGAAGUGAGGAGGCAUGUUGUAUACUUAGAGAAAAAGGAAUGCACAUGUAGGUAGUGGCAGGUGACAAGGAAGCCAUGCCCACAUGCUUUCGUUGUAAUCACUACUUGCAGACAACCUCAGCUAGAACCCUACGUGGACAUGGCUUUCUUUGUUUCAAUGCUAAGGGCAGCAUAUGACAAGGGAUGGCCUAACAUUACUGACAUGUCACAAUGGCCUAAGGUGGAUAAAGAUUUCAAAUUGCAGCCACCAAUAUUCAAGAGGAGAGGUGUGGGAAGGCAGAAGAAAAACAGAUUCUUAUCUCCUCUAGAGAGGACAAGUAAGGCUAGAAGACAAGUUAAGUGCGCCAACUGUGGUGAAAAUGACCAUAGGAAGGGAAGUUGGAAAUGCCUCUAACUGGAACGAAAAAGAGGUUAAGUUAUGAAUGUUUCAUCCUUUGUACUUAUGUUAGAAAUGCCUACUAACUAUUCAUCCUUUGUAGGAAGAGAACCAGAAAGACCAAGACAACUGGAGAGAGGAAGAAAGCUAAGGGGGCUGAACCAGAAGCUGCUCAAGUGCAGCAGCUGACCCAAAAGCUGCAACAGGUGCACAAGCUCACCCACAAGCUGCAACAGGUGCACUAGCUCACCCACAAGCUGCAACAGGUGCACAAGCUGAACCACUAGCUGAACCAUCUCCAAGAACAAGGGCACAAGCUGCAAGAGAAAAGGCUAGGAGGGCACUAGAGGCUGAGCAAGCAGCCAAGGAAGCAGAAUUAUAGGUAUCCACAAGAAGGGUACUAACAUUGGAACCACCACGAGUUGAAGUGAACAUGUCAGUGCAAGAAGACGGUCCCAGUUCAAUGGUUGAUGCUCCCCCUAAGAAGGAAAUAGCUUGCAACAAGAAAGAAGAUCAAGUUCAAUGCUUGAAGCCGAGGAGCAUGUCCCUUCGAGUGCUAUGACAUGUCUCUUUUGUAAUCUAAGGGCUAAGAAUAGUCUAAGCUGAGCCCUGAAAAGGUGGUUGCAUAUCUCUUUUGUAAUCUGAGGGCUAAGAACAGUUUAAGCUGAGCCAUGAAUGUAAUGAUGUCUCUUUUGAAUGUUGUAAUGAUGUCUCUUUUGAAUGCUAUGAACAAGGUCAUGUUGGGAUGUAAUGAAUGCUGAUGGUUUCAACAA